UUAGCGGCGGACGGGUGAGUAACACGUGGGCAACCUGCCCUGUAGAUUGGGAUAACUCCGGGAAACCGGGGCUAAUACCGAAUAAUCCAUUUCCUCACAUGGGGAGAUGUUAAAAGACGGUUUCGGCUGUCACUACGGAUGGGCCCGCGGCGCAUUACUAGUUGGUGAGGUAACGGCUCACCAAGGCGACGAUGCGUACCGACCUGAGAGGGUGAUCGGCCACACUGGGACUGAACACGGCCCAGACUCCUACGGGAGGCAGCAGUAGGGAAUCUUCCACAAUGGACGAAAGUCUGAUGGAGCAAUGCGCGUGAGUGAAGAAGGUUUUCGGAUCGUAAAACUCUGUUGUGAGGGAAGAACAAGUAUGAAAGUAACUGCUCGUACCUUGACGGUACCUCAUUAAAAGCCACGGCUAACUACUGCCCAGCCGCGGUAAUACGUAGUGGCAAGCGUUGUCCGGAAUUAUUGGGCGUAAAGCGCGCGCAGGCGGUCCUUUAAUCUGAUGUGAAAUCCCACGGCUCAACCGUGGAAGGUCAUUGGAAACUGGGGGACUUGAGUACAGAAGAGAAAGCGGAAUUCCAGUGUAGCGGUGAAAUGCGUAAGAUUUGGAGAACACCAGUGGCGAAGGCUUUCUGGUCUGUAACUGACGCUGACGCGAAGCGUGGGGAGCAACAGGAUUAGAUACCCUGGAGUC
rnacentral:rRNA from 1 species